rnacentral:rRNA from 1 species
GAUGAACGCUGGCGGCGUGCUUAACACAUGCAAGUCGAACGGAAAGGCCACAGCUUGCUGUGGUACUCGAGUGGCGAACGGGUGAGUAACACGUGGGUGAUCUGCCCUGUACUUCGGGAUAAGCUUGGGAAACUGGGUCUAAUACCGGAUAGGAAUCACAUGUGGGUGUGUGGUUGGAAAGCUUUUGCGGUAUGGGAUGAGCUCGCGGCCUAUCAGCUUGUUGGUGGGGUAAUGGCCUACGAAGGCGUCGACGGGUAGCCGGCCUGAGAGGGUGUACGGCCACAUUGGGACUGAGAUACGGCCCAGACUCCUACGGGAGGCAGCAGUGGGGAAUAUUGCACAAUGGGCGCAAGCCUGAUGCAGCGACGCCGCGUGGGGGAUGACGGCCUUCGGGUUGUAAACUCCUUUCGUCAGGGACGAAGCGAAAGUGACGGUACCUGGAGAAGAAGCACCGGCUAACUACGUG